rnacentral:tRNA from 1 species
CGCGCAGGCUGGCGCGGGGGCGCGCGGCGUUCCUGGCGCUGCAGUCCGGCUGGGUGCUGCUGGUUCCGGUGCUGCUGCUGAGCGG